UGCGCAGGCGGCGGCUCAAGUCAGGUGUGAAAUCCCCGGGCUUAACCUGGGAAUUGCGCUUGAAACUAGGUCGCUAGAGUGUGGCAGAGGGGGGUGGGAAUUCCACGUGUAGCAGUGAAAUGCGUAGAGAUGUGGAGGAACACCGAUGGCGAAGGCAGCCCCCUCGGGUCAACACUGACGCUCAUGCACGAAAGCGUGGGGGAGCAAACA
rnacentral:rRNA from 1 species